rnacentral:rRNA from 1 species
UACGAAGGGGGCUAGCGUUGCUCGGAAUCACUGGGCGUAAAGCGCACGUAGGCGGCUUCUCAAGUCAGGGGUGAAAUCCUGGAGCUCAACUCCAGAACUGCCUUUGAUACUGAGGGGCUCGAGUCCGGGAGAGGUGAGUGGAACUGCGAGUGUAGAGGUGAAAUUCGUAGAUAUUCGCAAGAACACCAGUGGCGAAGGUGGCUCACUGGCCCGAUACUGACGCUGAGGUGCGAAAGCGUGGGGAGCAAACAGG